GUGAAUCAUCGAAUCUUUGAACGCAAAUUGCACUCUCUGGUAUUCCGAAGAGUAUGCCUGUUUGAUGUUUAGUUUAAAUAAAAUUCGGUUUGGUUUCUGCCUCUCGUGGUGACUCAUUAGAUUUGCUUCAAUUUGCCUUCGGUUAAGUGACCUAAAAUUUUGCAUGAUUUUUUCGAACUUAUUUAAAUUUUUUUAUGUACGUUUGCGAUAUCUAAAAGUAAUUUUGUUCAUCCUCAU
rnacentral:misc_RNA from 1 species